CUUGUAAGUUUUCUUUUGAGUACUUGGUUUCCCCAUAGACUUGAGUCCGAGGACCAUGCAAGGUCUUGGUUCUGUCCAAAACUUGUAAGUUUUCUUUUGAGUACUUGGUUUCCCCAUAGGCUUGAGUCCGAGGACCAUGCAAGACCUUGGUUCUGUCCAAAACUUGUAGUUUUUCUUUUGAGUACUUGGUUUCCCCAUAGGCUUGAGUCCGAGGACCAUGCAAGGCCUUGGUUCUGUCCAAAACUUGUAAGUUUUCUUUUGAGUACUUGGUUUCCCCAUAGGCUUGAGUCCGAGGACCAUGCAAGGCCUUGGUUCUGUCCAAAACUUGUAAUUUUUCUUUUGAGUACUUGGUUUCCCCAUAGGCUUGAGUCCGAGGACCAUGCAAGGCCUUGGUUCUGUCCAAAACUUGUAAGUUUUCUUUUGAGUACUUGGUUUCCCCAUAGGCUUGAGUCCGAGGACCAUGCAAGGCCUUGGUUCUGUCCAAAACUUGUAAGUUUUCUUUUGAGUACUUGGUUUCCCCAUAGGCUUGAGUCCGAGGACCAUGCAAGGCCUUGGUUCUGUCCAAAACUUGUAGUUUUCUUUUGAGUACUUGGUUUCCCCAUAGGCUUGAGUCCGAGGACCAUGCAAGGCCUUGGUUCUGUCCAAAACUUGUAAUUUUUCUUUUGAGUACUUGGUUUCCCCAUAGGCUUGAGUCCGAGGACCAUGCAAGGCCUUGGUUCUGUCCAAAACUUGUAAGUUUUUCUUUUGAGUACUUGGUUUCCCCAUAGGCUUGAGUCCGAG